AGAGGUGACACACGUGCUGCUGGAUGUAGUGAGAGGUGACACACGUGCUGCUGGAUGUAGUGAGAGGUGACACACGUGCUGCUGGAUGCAGUGAGAGGUGACACACGUGCUGCUGGAUGUAGUGAGAGGUGACACACGUGCUGCCGCCUGCUGG